AGUUGCUGCUAUCAGGCAUGUAGUGGCAGCAGCGGUUUUACGUCUUACCGCAGAUCAGCAACCUGGCACUGAUGCCUUAUGCAUUGGCAGUGUAAGCUUGAUUUACCUGGGCCGCCUAGAGAAAGAAACCUAACUUUCCUCUGAUCGCAAAAUCAGUUUCUGAGCCAGGAAGCGAAAGUGCAGAUCCCAGAUCACAGAGUACCAGUGGUUCCCCAAGUGUGGCUCCUGGGCCAGCAGUGUAAGCAUCACCCAGGACUUGUUAGAACCAUGAGUUCCUGGACCCAUCUACAACAGGCUUCUGACAAAAGUUCCAGGGGAUACUUAAUGUGUGCUCAAGCUUAAGAGUCAUUAAAUGAAAUGACAUUGUUAUUUGGAGGUUUCUGUGAAGCUACGCCAGGUUCUCAGUGCUGGCUGACCAUGCUCAGGCUCAAAUGAGAAGACCCUGGCCAAGUGCUGUGGGCACAUGAAGGCAGCCAGCCUGAGGGAGGACUCGAGCUUGCACAAACACCGCCAACACUGUUAGUCCUUAGGCUGAGGUUUCGGGAACCUUGUUCAAGGUCAAAAGUGUUCUCUUGGGAGGCACAUUGUUUAAUUAAAAAAGAACAUUGAA